rnacentral:rRNA from 1 species
UACAGAGGGUGCGAGCGUUGUCCGGAAUCACUGGGCGUAAAGGGCGCGCAGGCGGCUUUUCAAGCGUGCGGUGAAAGCUCGGGGCUUAACUCCGAGUCUGCCGUGCGAACUGGGAGGCUUGAGUCUGGUAGAGGUCGAUGGAAUUCCGGGUGUAGCGGUGGAAUGCGUAGAGAUCCGGAAGAACACCGGUGGCGAAGGCGGUCGACUGGGCCAGAACUGACGCUGAGGCGCGACAGCGUGGGGAGCAAAC